GAGACUCUGUGCGCGUGCAUAUCAAUAAGCGGAGGAAAAGAAACUAACUAGGAUUCCCUUAGUAACGGCGAGUGAAGCGGGAAGAGCUCAAAUUUGAAAUCUUCAAGGUUCUACCUUGACGAAUUGUAGUUUAAAGAAGUGUUUUCUGUUGGAGUUUUGGUAAAAGUUCUUUGGAAUAGGACAUCAUAGAGGGUGAGAAUCCCGUAUUUGACCAUUUCUUUCCAGCUGUGUGAUACACUUUCAAAGAGUCGGAUUGUUUGGGAAUGCAGUCCAAAAUGGGUGGUAAAUUUCAUCUAAAGCUAAAUAUUGGCGAGAGACCGAUAGCGAACAAGUACCGUGAGGGAAAGAUGAAAAGAACUUUGAAAAGAGAGUUAAACAGUACGUGAAAUUGUCAAAAGGGAAGCGUUUGACAUCCAGUGUUGUUUUCUCGAAGAUCAAUUAAAAAUGGCCGGAUUUUGUGUUGUAUUGACUUUAUCAGCUUUCUGCACUUUUUUCUUAUCUUUUUUAAUGCACUUUUCGUUUAACAAGUCAACAUCAAUUUCUUUUGUUGUAAAAGAGUCAUUGGAAGGUGGCUUUCAUUUCGGUGAAGGUGUUUAUAGCCUUUGACUUCUGCAAUCGGAGAGAUUGAGGUCUGCAGCGUAGAUCCUUCGGGGUUAGAUACAUUUGUGCUAAGUUAUAGUUUUUCAUAGACAACAUGUUGACUAUGAUUAAUCAUGUAGCUUACUCGCUUAUGCUAUUUUACCUACGCUUAGGAUGUUGACAGCAGUAUAGACUGU
rnacentral:rRNA from 1 species